GAGACUUCGUCACAAUCGAAUCGACCGACUCUCGUUUUGGCCUCUGCCUGCCUGCCUGCCCCGCUCUGUCUCUUCAUUCAUGGCGUCGUCGUCGUCGGAGGCAGGAUUCGAUGAGGCCAUUAAUGGUUCCCUCUUCGAUGGUAUGGUUCUCUUCGUGCCCUCCUCCGUUGAUAUCUCCCUGCCUCAAGUUGGUGCAUCUCUGCCACCGCCGCCUGACGCCGCCGCCACCUCCCAACCUCAAUCCAAACCCCUACCCGUCGAUGAAGACCUCUUUUCCGAUCUCACCCUCCAGAAUCUCCCAUCUCCAACCCCCUCCCCCCUUGAUCCUCCAACUCCGUCUCCUCUUCCCACUCCAACUCCUACCCCAUCGCCUCCCUCCUCGCAUCUCCAGCCGCCUGCCUUUCCUUCUCGCCAGUCCUCCCGCAAGAAGAAACGGGCCGUCCGGAUUGGCUACGCCCGAGAAACAGCGGGCCCCGCCGCCGCCUUGUCGGAAGACGUCCAUCACCUCUCCGAUCCCCUUCGUAACAAAUCUCCUCCUCCUCCUUGCUCCUCCGGCACCGCAGCAGUCGUCAUGGCGAUUGCUUCGAAGUCGAUUGCAGACGAACCACCUACUUUUUCAUAUGAUUUAGGUGUAGGUUCCGCUCCACAUCCCGAUACGGCCAUAUCGGUGGUAGAGAACGACCCGACUCCUGGACCACCUCCUUCCAAAUCUCUGGAACAACUCAGAGAAGUGACGGACUAUGGGAGCUCGUGUGAAGCUGUCGUCAAAGAAGACAAGGGUCACCAGCCCCCGAUGGAAGAAGGAGAAGACGAAUAUAUUUGCUCAGAGGAAUCGGCCGCUAGAGAAGGCGCCUUUGAUUCCGCAGAGGAGGGACUACAGGUGGUCAGGGCUCAAAUCUCCAAAAAUCUUGAGUCCAUCCAGCAAAGAGCAGCUUCAGCAUAUGCAGAGAGGAAGGAAUUGGAAAGAAGGCGGAGAACAGCGGUUGAGACCGUGAAUUCCGCAUCAGCCAAGCAUAAGGACUUGGAAAGAGAGCUUGAGCUAGCCUGUGAAGCUGAGGACUUUGAGAGGGCUGAAAGGGUCAGCCAGAACCUCAUGACCAUGGAAGAGGAGAAAAACAAACUCCUACUCUCGUUGAGGGAAGCAGAGGCAGAUUGCGAAGUUGCUGAAUCAAAGAUGCUGGAGGUGUUGGAGUUGCAAAUAGCGGCAGAGGAAGAAGGUGUUUUCCUGCUGCAACAGUUUUCUAAGGAUGCAGCUAAUUCUGCAGAAUCAGUUCUUAAAAAUGCAGAAAAAGAGUCUUGUGAAGAACUGGAAGAGUGGCAAUCUUCAGUUGAAUUGUUAGAGGUUAAGAAGCUGGAAAUGGAUAUUGAGUCACUGUUAGUAUCUGAAGCAUGUUCAGGAUUGGAAAAUGCAAUAGAAGACCUAGUUAAAAAUGACAGGGAAGAAAAAGAAAUGCUAACAAGAAAAGGUGUUGUUUUGGCAAAAGAAUUGGAUGAACUACGAGAAUUGGUCAUACUGAAGGAGACAGAGAUUGCUGAUAACAAGUGCCAAAUACAAGAUGUUGAGAAAAGAAUUUCUAAUGUGGUUUUUAAGUUUCACGAGACACAAUCUACUAUUGUCAUGAAGCAUGAAAAUUUGCAGGCAGUCUUUCUCAAGGGAGAAUCUGAGAAAGAGGCAUUGUUAAAAAAAAAAAGGAAAUUGAUGAAAAUAUCUCUUUAUCUGAAGAGAAGAGGAAAAAGCUAAUGGAACUUUCAGAAAUUUCAUCUGCUGAAGCAAAAACUUGUAAGGAUUUGGUUGGAUUGAAAAAGCAUUUGUCUUCUUUGGUUUUGAAAUCACGGGAGGACAGAGUGAAGUUCUCAAAGACAGAGGAAAAGAUACUGGAAGAUAUUCAGAUACUCAGAGAAGAAAUUUUAGCUGCAAGAACUGCUCUACAGGAUCUAUCUUCAGGUAGGGCAAGCAUCCAACAAGAAGUUGCUUUGUAUAAGCAAAGAAUAGAUUUUAUCGAGAAAAGAGGGCCUGAGCUGGAGGCUGAAAAGAAAGUUGCUGCUGCUGCUAGAAAUUUCAAGGAAGCCGGGCGGGUAGCAACUGAGGCGAAAGCAUUACAUAAUGCGAAGGAAGAUCUGCAACAUAAGAAGGAGAAGAGCAUCUUACACCUAGAAAAGCUAGAGGAGGAGAUCAAAAGCAAUGUUGACAAAAUUCAGGAGAACGAAGGUUUAAUUCUACUCAAGGAAAAAGAGGCAGCAUUGGCAGGCUGCAACAGGCUCCAAUUAGUUGCUGCAGCUGCAAGGGCUGAGAGAUUAGCUGCUCUUAAAAUGGGUGACCUUGAAGAAGGGAAUAUGUUACUUCAAGAGGCUGAAGCUGCGGAAUCGGAAGCCAGGGAGAUUCAGGAAGUCUACAACUUCGACGUAGAGGUGGAUGGUAAGAAUUUUGUAUCGGUGGCAUUCAUAACCAACCUUAAUGGAGAUCAUUUGACGGAAGUGGCUUCUCUAAACCUCCCUGCUGUUGCUGGUACACAGAGUUAGCUGGUGACACGAGUGACUUUGGUGGUACAGACUAAUGUCUCAAGAGUAUCUGCAACAGUGAAACGAGGUUUCUAAAAGUAUGCUGUAUUUUUUAUGACCUUUGUAAGAAUUAUCCUGUAAAAGCUACAAUUUGUAAAUGUCACCCCUCAUUGAGUAAACUACCCGUAACUCGAGCGAGCAUCUAAAGCAGCUUGAAUCUUGGCUGACAGUUGGGCGUGGGCAUUUCGUUUCUUUAA